UCUGUAGGUGAACCUGCAGAUGGAUCAUCGUCGAUACCUUAUAGGUACAUGCUGAUCACGAGAUGCCGAUAAUCAUGGAAUCAGGCUUGUUCUUGGUUCCAGUCGGUGUCUCACCCCAUCUAAGCUCUCGGUGAGGUGUCUAUUCUUGAUUGGAGCCGCUUUGAGUGACGGCAAUGAUAGUUGGGUAUGUUCCCCGUGAGGGUAGAGCAUAGACUUUAUGAACAGAGCUGGGCUGUCGCCUCACCAAAAACCAUCGAUAACUGGUGGCUGAGUGAGAAAUCACUGGAUCUGCUAUGCAGGGAGCCUUAAUGAGUUGGUCUUCACCGACACAACCGCCACUAUCGGUAAUCUAUUCCCAAUUAACUUGUUUCUAGUAAAAGGCUAAAUUAGUCAGUGGAAAAUAGCCUUAGCGAUGGAUCGGUUGAUUCGCGUAUCGAUGAAAAACGCAGCUAGCUGCGUUAUUUACCACGAAUUGCAGACGCUUAGAGUGGUGAAGUUUUGAACGCACAGCGCCGUUGGGUUUUCCCUUCGGCACGUCUGGCUCAGGGUUGUUUAAUAGACUUCGAUAUUGCUAGGAAGGCAGCAAUAUCGUGCACCGAACGGUGAUAGUGUCUAUAAAAUAGUGGUGCAUACCCCGUUUUAGGGUAAAAUAAAGGUCGUAAACUGAAACUUCUUCCGCCCGAGAAGUUAUAGGUAAUACUUAUGGAUGUGCCAUGUAUGAAAUAUGACGUGGUUAUAUACAUAAAUAGUAUUUCCUUGAAGUCUCAUUAUGCAACCUGAGCUCAGUCGUGAUUACCCGCCGAACUUAAGCAUAU
rnacentral:rRNA from 1 species